rnacentral:rRNA from 1 species
UACGUAGGGUGCGAACGUUGUCCGGAAUUAUUGGGCGUAAAGAGCUCGUAGGCGGUCUUGUCGCGUCAUGCUGUGAAAACUCAGGGCUUAACCCUGAGCUUGCAGUAGGGUACGGGCAGACUGAGAGUGCGGUAGGGGAGACUGGAAUUCCUGGGUGAUAGCGGUGAAAUGACGCAGAUAUCGAGGAGGAACACCCGGUGGCGAAGGCGGGUCUCUGGGCCGUAACUGGACGCU